UUUAUUGCUGGACUUUUAUGCGAUAAACUUUUCCUAUUUACACAAAUGACUCGAUUUUUGUGUUUUCCUUUUUGUUAUAUUGUUCCAAAAUAAGGCAUUAAGUCAAUUUAAAUAUUAAUCUGAACAUUCAAAUAUGAACAUGCAUUGCAAUUGGCUUUUUUACUACUUUCAGAACAAAAUGUUCCUGUUUUUGUGUGCUAGUAUUCUCAUGAUGGCAAUGGCGGCACCACGCGGUCAUUAUAUCAAUAUUGAAACCUAUAAUGGACCUGUUGGGUUAAUAUAGGAUUUUAAAUGGUUGUUUUAUAUAACUAUAUCUAGAUCAAACAAGAAUCAGAUAUCAGUGUCAUUCAUUAUUACCUCGAUGACGAGAAUGAUACCUUAGCGAAAUUGUUGUGGAUGGGUAGUUCACUUCAUACAUAAUAUUAGCAGUGAUUGACUCCGUUUAAUUAUUGCGGACGCGUGUGUUACUUCCUUUGUUCAGUUUGGGCAUGCCUAGUUUUAAAACAAAUAUUUCAUUUUAUCUUAUAAUCAUAUUAAUGCAUGUUUGUAUCGCCAUUACUUAAUUCUCGGAUCAGGAUCAUCUCAUGUUUCGAAAAUUAUCAAUAUAAUCAAGACUUACCUUAUAUAUGCUCAAAUUGUAUUUAGAUUCGGAUAAUUGCAGUUGACACGUUCUGUGAUUUUGAAAAGAAGUAAAAUGGGUCAGUGCGGUUCUACUAAAAUAUUAAGGGGGUGUACAAACUGCUAGCGAAUGCCGUAGUAAGUCUAUUUAUUUGCACUCCCAUUAACGUAUCUAGUGCCAUGCGGAGUGCCUACUGUUCAGCCGAUCACCAACCGCAUUGUGGGAGGUCAGGUGGCAAAGCCUGGUUCGUGGCCCUGGGUGAUCCUGUUCGUCGAUGAAAAUGGAUACAUCUCCGGAAGUGGCGUCAUGAUUGACCAUAAUGUAAUCCUUACGUCUGCCCAGCUGUUUGAAGGAUUGGGAUACAACAUGUAUGACUUUGACCUUCAUUACUGGAGGUUGUUUGUGGGCGAGUACAACGUCCUGACCACGGACCCCCACGAGAAAGUCUACACCAUCAAGAGUGUUUUACUCCACCCUGGAUACAAUUACACAUCCCUGGAGAACGACAUCGCCCUCGUAAUCACCACACAGCCCAUCGCAUAAGUCGCUUGCUGUUCGAUUGGACAUGCCAGUAUUUGUUUUAUAUUGAGAAACGAUAUAUAUAAAUAUAUUUUACUUCUUACUUACUUGCUUUUAUUCAAAUAUAUAAAAUUGUUAUUAAAGCUUUGCGGUAGUGAUCUGUGUAAUGUGAUAAUUAAGUAGCAACAAUGGAAUUAUAUAAAGUUAACUUGUAUGUGUAUGUAGUUUAGAAUCAGAUCUAGUAUCUAUUUGAUAUUUUAAGGCUAGUUGAGUCAAGAUUAAGGCCACUGUAACUUAAAGUAUCAAACCCGUUUUUGUUAAAUUACUUUCCGAAGUGUUUAUGAUAACUGCCCUUGCAUUGGUUGAUACAAUUGUCUGGGAUUUCGGCAUAUGUAAAAGAAAAAUCAAGAGAUAGUUGAAAUAUUAGAUUAACGAGGUGUAAUUUAUUGUCAAACAUUUAGGAUGACGGCUUCACAGGUAAGUUCACUAGAAAACAUCAAAUUGAACUAAUAAUCAGUUUGCUUUAAGGUGAGAUACGUCACAGCAAUAAAUUCGUUCAUGGUAUCAUAACUAACUCAACUCGUGUUUUUUAACGGUUUGAGCAUUGAAUGUCGACGAAAUAAUAUCUAUAAAUGCUCGACAGCCUGUUUACCUUUAUUCAUCGCAUGCUGUAGAUGGAACAACCAUACGCGGCCCGCCUCUCUGCCCGAUAACUCCACAGGGGUGUCCGUGGGUAGCGUAUGUUAUCUUCCAGGAUUUGGAGGAAUGGGUGGCAUCCAAAUGACCGGGACCGAGGAGGUGAUGAACCAGAUAUACUUGGUCAUCGUAGAUGACAGUGCCUGUGCCAGCCGUUACAAGGGAUACAUGCCCAACAACAAAUUGUGCGCUGGAUACGAAAAUCAACAUAAAAACUUUUGCUGGGUUUGGCGUCCUCGGGUGGAAAGUGCAUACUCGCUAAUCAGCCUUGCGUGUUUGAGGACGUGAGCAUGUACACAAAGUGAAUCCGUACCACGAGGGAGGACGCCGGUUACCCCUACCAGUACUAGGCUGUACGCAAAGUCCUUCGUGGAAUGUUCAUGUAGAUUUGUUAAAAUAUAGUUAUCACAAAAUAUC